rnacentral:rRNA from 1 species
CAAUAGCGUAUAUUAAAGUUGUUGCAGUUAAAAAGCUCGUAGUUGGACCUCUGGGAGGGACCCAAUGUCCGCCGUGUGCGUGCGCAGCGGGGCCCUUCCAUCCUUCUGUUAACGUUUCUCGGUAUUCGCUUACUGGUUUCGGGCUCAGAUAUUUUUACCUUGAGAAAAUUAGAGUGUUUCAGGCAGGCUAGGCCGGAAUACAUUAGCAUGGAAUAAUGGAAUAGGACUACGGUCUCUUUGUUGGUUUGAGGGACUGCAGUAAUGAUUAAUAGGGAUAGUCGGGGGCGUCAGUAUUCAGCUGUCAGAGGUGAAAUUCUUGGAUUUGCUGAAGACUAACUACUGCGAAAGCAUUCGCCAAGGAUGUUUUCAUUAAUCAGGGAACGAAAGUUAGGGGAUCGAAGAUGAUUAGAUACCA